rnacentral:rRNA from 1 species
CCCUUAGACGUUCUGGGCCGCACGCGCGCUACACUGACGAAGGCAACGAGCUUUCCUUUACCGAAAGGUACGGGUAAUCUUUUGAAACUUCGUCGUGCUGGGGAUAGAUCCUUGCAAUUAUUGAUCUUAAACGAGGAAUUCCUAGUAAGUGCAAGUCAUCAACUUGCGUUGAUUACGUCCCUGCCCUUUGUACACACCGCCCGUCGCUACUACCGAUUGAAUGGUUUAGUGAGGCCUUCGGAUCCGCGACUCGUUUUGUGGAGAAGUUGGACAAACUCAGUCAUUUAGAGGAAGUAAAAGUCGUAACA